GUUUGUCUAUCUGGGGUCUGUAACUAGAUAAAGAGAAAGGAAUAUUUGCUCCUGAGUCACUUUAUCUCAAACUUGCCUUUUGACAUAGAUAAAGUUUGGUUAUUAAUAUAUCAGUUAAUUUUGAAACAGUCUGUAUUUUUACUUUGUUUUUGCAAUAUCCUUCUGCUUAUUAACUUCCAUUAUACGUUGAGGCAAAUUAGUGCAAAGUAGUCUCAAAAACAGAUAAUGCAUUGAAAUGAAUUAUUAGGGUAAUGUAAAUGGUCUUAGGUCUAUAUCAGGUGCUUUAGUUUAUAUACUGAAUGUCUCCAAAGGCCUGUGUAUUAAAGAUCUGAUCCCUGGCUUGGUAUAAUUGGCUGACAGUGGAGACUUCAAGAAAUGGGGUCUUAUAAGAAGUGUUAGGUCUUGGUAGUAUGCCCUCAAAGGAAAUAGAAGGACUCCAGUCCUUUUCUCUCCCUGCCUAAUAUAUUUUUGCUUCACUAAAUGCUUCUUCCUCAUCAUUAUGUACCUUCUCACCUCAGCCCCCAAAGUGAUGGGGCCAAUCAACCAUGG
rnacentral:lncRNA from 1 species